rnacentral:lncRNA from 1 species
GUGCUUGAUUUAUUUUAAAGUGUUAACUAGAAAGUGAGUUGAAUAAUUAUUAUAACUGAAUAGUAAGCUGAGCCAGCUAUGAACCAAGAAAACACUUUAUAUCUCUUAACAAAAAACGGAUCAAAGCAGAGGAACUUGUACCCUUCUUGAAGGAGUGUAAAAUUAAUGACGUAUUCCCAAUAUCGAUAUACCACAUACACCUCCCAAUCAAAUCGAAGAAAAUCGAAAAAAAAUAAAAUAUAGAUGCCUGAACUUUGCCUACACAGAUGCUAGACGAAACCUAUAUGCUCUCAAGAACAAGGUUCGAUGCACUGAAAUCUACAUGGUAAUGAAGUAUGGGUACACAAUCCAGCAGACCUUCCAAGACAUCCACGCCCACGAUGAUUACUAUAGACAGAGAAUAAGAAACAGCUACAUAAAAAAGUUUAAAUGGCUUUUACAUAAACAACGAGUCCGACCGAUUCUCCCGAAAUUAAAGGUAGAAGAAGUGGUAGAAGUUGUUGGAGAUAUUGAACUCCCAAAACCUGUCGAAGAGCUUCUACUUAACACACUCACCAUGGUUCC